rnacentral:rRNA from 1 species
UACGUAGGGUGCGAGCGUUGUCCCGGAAUUAUUGGGCGUAAAGAGCUCGUAGGCGGCUUGUCACGUCGGUUGUGAAAGCCCCGGGGCUUAACCCCGGGUCUGCAGUCGAUACGGGCAGGCUAGAGUUCGGUAGGGGAGAUCGGAAUUCCUGGUGUAGCGGUGAAAUGCGCAGAUAUCAGGAGGAACACCGGUGGCGAAGGCGGAUCUCUGGGCCGAUACUGACGCUGAGGAGCGAAAGCGUGGGGAGCGAACAGG